rnacentral:lncRNA from 1 species
GCGAUGAGCAGUGUGGAGUCGUCGAGCGUGGCGGACACCGGGGGCGCUCCUGCGCCUGCGGGACCCACGCGGCCGUGGCUAUCAUCCAAGGGCAUCCUGUUGCUGCUCUGCGUCUUCCUCAUCUGCAUGUGCGCCAUCAUUGGCCUGGUCAUCUACCUCAUCAUUCUCAAAGGCAAAUCGCUGCCCGGAGGAGCACCGGAGGUGCCAGAAGGUCCCGACCGGUAAGGUUAGAGCUGCGGAGGUGACGGCGUUCGCCCAGAGAUCGGCCCCGUCUUUGGAGGGCGGCUCGCGGACCAGCGGCACCACCGAAACGGCGAGAUGCUCGAGCGAUGCGACGCCUGAGAACGUGGAUUCCCGGCGCAAGCGGAAUGCUUGCCAGUUGUGCCCUGGCAUCAGAGCUUAAAUAAAAAAAAACCUCUUCUAAAAAGCGCCGUAAAGAAAGU